rfam:Tupaia chinensis contig237938, whole genome shotgun sequence.
UGCCCUAGCAGCGGUAACACUACUGCAGUGAGGUCUGGGCUCUGGAGUAUUGUUUCUGCUGCCAGGGUA